rnacentral:sRNA from 2 species
UACUACCGCGUGAGGGAUAGCAGUGGAAAUCAUCCCGAUUUUUAUCGGGAGAUUGCAGCGAAUAGCCCGACCCGCA